rnacentral:rRNA from 2 species
GCGCGGUGGUCCCACCUGACCCCAUGCCGAACUCAGAAGUGAAACGCCGUAGCGCCGAUGGUAGUGUGGGGUCUCCCCAUGUGAGAGUAGGGAACUGCCAGAC